rnacentral:rRNA from 1 species
GUGAACGCUGGCGGUAGGCCUAACACAUGCAAGUCGAACGGCAGCACAGUAAGAGCUUGCUCUUACGGGUGGCGAGUGGCGGACGGGUGAGGAAUACAUCGGAAUCUACUUUUUCGUGGGGGAUACCGUAGGGAAACUUACGCUAAUACCGCAUAAGACCUACGGGUGAAAGCAGGGGAUCUUCGGACCUUGCGCGAAUGAAUGAGCCGAUGUCGGAUUGGCUAGUUGGCGGGGUAAAGGCCCACCAAGGCGACGAUCCGUAGCUGGUCUGAUAGGAUGAUCAGCCACACUGGAACUGAGACACGGUCCAGACUCCUACGGGAGGCAGCAGUGGGGAAUAUUGGACAAUGGGCGCAAGCCUGAUCCAGCCAUACCGCGUGGGUGAAGAAGGCCUUCGGGUUGUAAAGCCCUUUUGUUGGGAAAGAAAAGCAGCAGGUUAAUACCCCGCUGUUCUGACGGUACCCAAAGAAUAAGCACCGGCUAACUUCGUG